CUAGUGAUUAACGCGAAGANCCUUAACCAGGCCUUGACAUCCAAUGAACUUUCCAAAGAUGGAUGGGUGCCUUCGGGAACAUUGAGACAGGUGCUGCAUGGCUGUCGUCAGCUNGUGUCGUGAGAUGUUGGGUUAAGUCCCGUAACGAGCGCAACCCUUGUCCUUAGUUACCAGCACGUUAUGGUGGGCACUCUAAGGAGACUGCCGGUGACAAACCGGAGGAAGGUGGGGAUGACGUCAAGUCAUCAUGGCCCUUACGGCCUGGGCUACACACGUGCUACAAUGGUCGGUACAGAGGGUUGCCAAGCCGCGAGGUGGAGCUAAUCCCAUAAAACCGAUCGUAGUCCGGAUCGUAGUCUGCAACUCGACUGCGUGAAGUCGGAAUCGCUAGUAAUCGCGAAUCAGAAUGUCGCGGUGAAUACGUUCCCGGGCCUUGUACACACCG
rnacentral:rRNA from 1 species